GAUGAACGCUGGCGGCGUGCUUAACACAUGCAAGUCGAACGGAAGGGCCCAAGCUUGCUUGGGUACUCGAGUGGCGAACGGGUGAGUAACACGUGGGUGAUCUGCCCUGCACUUCGGGAUAAGCCUGGGAAACUGGGUCUAAUACCGGAUAGGACGAUGGUUUGGAUGCCAUUGUGGAAAGUUUUUUCGGUGUGGGAUGAGCUCGCGGCCUAUCAGCUUGUUGGUGGGGUAAUGGCCUACCAAGGCGUCGACGGGUAGCCGGCCUGAGAGGGUGUACGGCCACAUUGGGACUGAGAUACGGCCCAGACUCCUACGGGAGGCAGCAGUGGGGAAUAUUGCACAAUGGGCGCAAGCCUGAUGCAGCGACGCCGCGUGGGGGAUGACGGCCUUCGGGUUGUAAACUCCUUUCGCUAGGGACGAAGCGUUUUUGUGACGGUACCUGGAGAAGAAGCACCGGCUAACUACGUG
rnacentral:rRNA from 1 species